CGUUACACAACUACGACUUGUGAUUGAAUCAAGAGAGAGAACCGUGAUACAACACCGACUUGUGAUUGAAUUAGGCGAGAGAUGAAAAAACUAUCUUUCAAACUACCAAACCUACUAUUCAUUUUCCCCUCAAAACACUUAGAUUUGACACUGUGUUGUUAGGCUUGUCUCAUUCAGCGAAGGUUGACACUGUGUUGUUAGGCUUGUCUCAUUCAGCGAAGGUUGACACUGUGUUGUUAGGCUUGUCUCAUUCAGCGAAGGUUGACACUGUGUUGUUAGGCUUGUCUCAUUCAGCGAAGGUUGACACUGUGUUGUUAGGCUUGCCUCAUUCAGCGAAGGUUGACACUGUGUUGUUAGGCUUGCCUCAUUCAGCGAAGGUUUAAAGAAAGGGUAGCGUCGUUCGUUCUACGGUUAACGAAACAUUAAUCAUACCUGGUCAUCACUAUUUGUGGAACUCCCCCCCCCCCUCUCCCUACGCUUUAAGUUAAAUAAAUCAAGUCAGGGGUAUUGAUGGAGCCUGUUCAUCUUGUCAGUAACUUCUGUUUUCAUACCGUGUCACUAUUUGUGGAAAGCGGAACUCCUCCCCCCUACGCUUUAAGUUUAAUACAUCAAGUCAGGGGUAUUUAUGGAGCCUGGUCAUCUUGUCAGUAACUUCUGGUUUUCAUGCCGUGUCACUAUCUGAGGAAAACGGAAUACUGAAACAAUUUAUUAAACGGUCAAACACCACGUUAAUUACAGUGACGUACAUUACAGUCAGUUAUAGAAUCAAACACCACGUUAAUUACAGUGACGUACAUUACAGUCAGUUACAGAAUCAAACACCACGUUAA